rnacentral:rRNA from 1 species
UACGUAGGGAGCAAGCGUUGUCCGGAAUCAUUGGGCGUAAAGCGUGCGCAGGCGGUUAUGCAAGACAGAUGUGAAAUCCCCGGGCUCAACCUGGGAACUGCAUUUGUGACUGCAUAGCUAGAGUGCGGCAGAGGGAGAUGGAAUUCCGCGUGUAGCAGUGAAAUGCGUAGAUAUGCGGAGGAACACCGAUGGCGAAGGCAAUCUCCUGGGCCUGCACUGACGCUCAUGCACGAAAGCGUGGGGGAGCAAACAGG